rnacentral:misc_RNA from 1 species
GAUGAAGAACGUAGCGAAAUGCGAUACUUGGUGUGAAUUGCAGAAUCCCGCGAAUCAUCGAGUUUUUGAACGCAAGUUGCGCCCGAAGCCAUUCGGCCGAGGGCACGUCUGCCUGGGUGUCACGCAUCGUUGCCCCCCCAAACUCCGGUUCGGGCGGGGCGGAAGUUGGCCUCCCGUGCGUGCCUGCGCGCGCGGUUAGCCCAAAAGCGAGUCCUUGGCGACGAGCGCCACGACAAUCGGUGGUUUUUUUACCCUCGUUCCUCGUCGUGCGUGCCCCGUCGCCCGAACGCGCUCUUGCGACCCUCACGCGUCGCCUCGGCGGCGCUCCCAACGCGACCCCAGGUCAGGCGGGACUACCCGCUGAGUUUAAGCAUAUCAAUAAGCGGAGGA